UUCCUUUUCAUAAUCCUUCUGUGGGAACUACCUGGGAAUCUUAAGCUUUCCUAGAGAAGAAGGAAAUCCCACACUUAAAGAAGGUUGUGUGUUUCUUUCUCACAACACCAUAGACUGGGCAUAUCAACUCCAAUCAUCCAGGGUACUUCUUAGGGUGACCAUGAUGCCUUGGAGCCAAACAAAUCACACUAUGAUAUCAAGUGUCUCAUCAAACAAACAGCAAGGAACAUCCUGGGUUGGAUCCCUUAGACCUCCAAAUGCCUUGUGGUUCCAUAGACAAAUAAGAUCUCUUUCGAGGAAAAAAGUUGUCUCAGCUGUAAGUGAGCAAUUCCAUCCAGAGCAAAGAUCUGCCUCAUAUUUGCUCUGGCAUAACCUCUCUUCUGCCUUGUCUCCAGUGGAAGUGAAUGCAAUCAUGUGAGAUAUUUAAUGUGAACCACUGGUUCCAAGCUACAGAGACAUCACUGAGAUCAGAAGACAAUUGUGCAACUCACCAGAGGUUCAGACCAUCCUCCUGUAACCUGCCUUAUUCUCAGUAUGAGUUCUAAGGGAAUAAAAGUAGCCAAGAGCUGACAGCACCAUCUAUCUAAAAUGUCAUCUGCAGGGAGAGCUGCUCGAGUGGCACCUUGCUGAGCUGAUAGUUAUAGUAGGGCACUUGGGUUUGACAGUCUCACACCUGCCUUUUGAUGAUGACUCAAUGAAGGUGGGGCAGGUCAUCUCCUGUGUGUUGAAUGAGAACUCUUUUGUUGUUUUUAAGUGAGACUCUGGCUUGCUAGCAUCAGCUGCUAUGUUCCGGUGUAGUAAGUUGAAUCUAGUAGCCAAGAGUUUACUUUAGAAACAACACAUGUGAAUGCUGUCUUUGUCUCUUUGAUACCUAAAAUGACACUCACACUUUAAAACCUAGUUUGGACAAUCCAUAGAGGAGUAUCAUAGGAAUGAGUGUGCUUAUGUCAAACCAUAAAACCAUUAUUUGACAAUACUUUUAAAAUAAGACCUAAAAACAAAAAUUUUCCCACUUCCAGUUUUCAUAGACAUUUAUUAAAUUAGAAGAUACAUCUUAUCACCAAUUGCUGGCAAAUUGUGAAGAGCAAGAUCAAUUUUUUUAAUGUUCAUUUUAUUCUCCCAAGCAAGGUAUGCUAUAACUAUGGCCCAUUUGGAGCAUAUGGGCAGCCAUAUUUUGUCCACCCAAACACUGGGGAGCAUUACAAGGAAGGUCUGUCUGCUGGGCUGCUUUUUGAGAAGGCCUGAAGUAGAGAUGAGAAUACACAGCACAGGAUAUCUUCUCACAUCACCAUUAGAGGGACACAAGACAAUAUUUAAAUGUCCCAGUCUACCUUCAACUCUUGGCCAGUGAAAAUUUGUCUGGACCUGUGUAUGCUGAAAAAAACAAAACAAAACAAAACAAAACAAAACACUCCUGAAACCAUAAAGGAAGCAGAGACUUGAAUGAAGCACUGAAGGUCUGUGGUUGAAAGCACUUUCAGAAACCAACUGUCCUGGUGUUCAUGGGUAACUACCUGCAUGGGUGUCUGGGGUCUGACUGUGAUGAUUCUAUUUGCAGGCCUUGAAGGAACAGAGGAUGCUUUUUUCUGUUUUAUGCGUAGUCAAUCUGUGGAUGUACAAGUUAAAUAAAAGCACUCAUUUAAAGUGUAACUUCACAGUAAGACUGUUGCCUCCAAGGUUUUCUUUAUUUUUUAACCCAAAUCCACCUAAUCCUCUUAUUUUGAGGCAUGUUUUAUUAUGCCCACUAAAAUAAUUAAAUGAGAAGACCAUAAAGAAUCAUUGACUAUUUGGAAAGAAAUUGCCUAAAGUAGAAUAGGGGGAAUUUAACAUGCAAUGAUGGGACUUUUGGGGGGAACUUUUUAUAGAGAGCUGACAUAGUGUAUUUGGGGAGAAUUUUAUAGAAGAUAACAAAGAGUGUUUUAACUGUGAAAAUAAAGAUGUGGAAUUAUCUACAACCUUUAUGUGCAAUAGGGAAACUGCAGCAAGACCCUUGCUGUGCUCACUGCCCCUCACCGUUUACUCGCGCCUUCCUAGAGAUGUUUAGAUUGUAAAGCUAGCCUUGUGUUUCCUGUCCUUUACUGAUACUUAACAUGUUUUUCUCUAAGCUUUUUUUUUAUUUUUACAAAAUUUAAAAUAAAAAGAUUAACUGGCUG
rnacentral:lncRNA from 1 species